CACACGCCAGUAGGGAGCUAUCUCCCAGGUAGAUCGAUCGCUUCGCCCGAGGACUCUAUCAGAUACUAACGGUUCUCUCAGUUCCCCGGGCCCGGGUCAAAUCCGACCACAUGGCUAUUUUGCUGUCAAAACAUGGUCAAGGCUAACUUGAAUUACAUGGUCGGACGUUCCUCGGGAAACUCAAGCCGGUUGCCAGCGACAAGUUAACAAGUUAGAGUCUAACCCAAAAUAGAAGACGUCGCUGUCCAAGUGUCUUAGCGUCCAAGAGUGGAGCUCUUCGCUUGACCAACUUGCUCACCUGAUGUGCACUGAAGGAAAAUAAAAAAUAAUAAAAAUACUUUUGCACAGAAUCUAUAGACCUUGAUGGCUCAAAUUGCAUAUAAGUCACAUAUCUUUGUACAACAUGAAAAUUAAUAAUGCAAAUAAAUUGUUAACUUUAAACGCGCAAAUUCCAGUCUGCACACAUCGCGCGUGUGUGUGUGCUCAAGUGCGUGUGUAUGAGUGAGUGGAGCAUGGUG